UACGUAGGGUGCAAGCGUUAAUCGGAAUUACUGGGCGUAAAGGGUGCGUAGGCGGGUCUUUAAGUCAGGGGUGAAAUCCUGGAGCUCAACUCCAGAACUGCCUUUGAUACUGAGGAUCUUGAGUCCGGGAGAGGUGAGUGGAACUGCGAGUGUAGAGGUGAAAUUCGUAGAUAUUCGCAAGAACACCAGUGGCGAAGGCGGCUCACUGGCCCGGUACUGACGCUGAGGCACGAAAGCGUGGGGAGCGAACAGG
rnacentral:rRNA from 1 species